rnacentral:sRNA from 1 species
CAUGAGACCCUGUCUCAGAAUAAAAAAGCAUUUCUUUCUCAGGAGACAGAGUACAGACUGUGUUUUUGUUUUUUCUCUCUCUGUGCUACAGGGGAAGGUGUGGCUCAUUGAUUUUAAUCCAUUUGGCGAAGUCACAGAUUCACUGCUGUUCACCUGGGAAGAACUGAUAUCUGAGAACAACUUAAACGGCGAUUUUAGUGAAGUAGACGCUCAAGAGCAGGAUUCCCCAGCUUUCCGUUGCACAAACAGUGAAGUGACAGUCCAGCCUAGCCCCUAUUUGAGUUACCGGCUACCCAAGGACUUUGUAGACCUCUCUACUGGGGAGGACGCUCACAAGCUAAUAGACUUCCUUAAGCUGGUAAAGUCUAUGUGCAUUUAGUAUGCUGGCCAUCUUUUCAAAUAGACCUUCAAAUUGGCUUUUAUAUAAUAUUUCAUUGGAAUCCUGUAUCACCUAGACUUUGAUGGUUAUGAAUGGAACCGAGUUACUGAGUUAGAGCAAUUUCUAAUUAAAUAUGAAAUAGGAGCUGAAGGCAUAAUUUAUUGAUUAGGAUGACAGAAAAUGUUUUUAUGCUGUACAUGCCUUUUGAACAUUUUUCAAAAUACUUGUAACUUUGAAGAAAGUAGCAGGUCUCUGUUCUGGUGGUGAUUUUACUCAAGAGGGAAUGUGAAUAUUUAUAUUUUUGUGUGGAUUUCUGUGUAGGAGUUUUUGUAUGUAUGGAAGAAAGAGAAGAAAAUACUCAAAUACCUGAGGAUAAUUUGCUCAGGAGUCAAAGUGACAAACUAGUUUAAUGAAUUAAAGCAUGGUUUUCCAUGACAAUUUUAAAUCACAUCCUUUGCCAAGACCUCUAGAAAAUUACACCUGCUGAGCAGAUAUCCCAAGGAGCAUGUGCUAUUUUAACGUCCUCUUGGUUUUCUUUGACAGAAGAGAAAU